GUGACUAAGUCUAUACUACGUUCUUUCGCUCCAGUCAGUCUGCAUUGUUUUGAGAGUUAGUGAUUUUAUGCUGGAAUCGACGUGGUUAUUUCGCAAAUCUUUUAAAUAUGUAGUGAAAGCAGUAUUUGUUUAUAUUAUUGAAGAACUGUAAAAUUUAGGUUUGACAUUGGUGGUUUUUUGGCUUUACAACUCGUCUGUUAACGGAAUUGGGUAGUGUUCAAAUAAAAUUUAAAAUUGGUAGAACUCUGGGAUAAGUUUUAGUAUUUA